GAGCGGUAGCUCAACUGGAUAGAGCAUCGGUCUUCUAAACCGAGGGUUGAGGGUUCAAGUCCCUCCCGUUU
rnacentral:tRNA from 1 species